CCUCCCUGGCUUUUAUAUGCCUUGACUUGGCUCAUGAAAUGAGAGACGUCACCCUAACAACCCCCUCCUGUUCUCCAGCAAGACGGGGGGAGUCUCUCUGCUCCUGGCUGCAUUCCCCUACCUGGAUCACCAUGAAAUGUUAUUUCCAAUAGACCGAGCGACUUAACGGCUGUCAUAUGCCACAUAUCAGGCGGAAUCAUCUGACUUGCUCCAUCCCAUCAUGCUUCAUGGACCGUGAUUAGCUGCGGCACUCUGAGGCACACAGCACAGACUUGCCUGCGACUCCCCUCAAGAACAAACGGCUUCGCCUGACCCCAGAGGUUAAGGUUCCUUCAGACUGUUCAACUGAAAUUAGCAAAUGCUUACCAAGGACCCAGGUUGAGCCCCAGUGCAUGCCAGAGAUGAUCACAGAAAAAGAAACGGAAUCUCAGAGAGGUGGAGCCAAUUGACUGAAGCCACACAGAAUAUCAGCUGGAGUCAGGAUUCUAACACCAUCCCACGAUGAUGAUGAUGAUGAUGUUGAUGGUGACAAAGAUGACUAUGAAGAAGAAGUAGGAGGGGAUUUGGAAGAGGGAGAAGAAGAGGAAGAGAAGGAGGAGGAGCGAGAUGAGGAAACCAAGCCUCAAGGAAGCUGGGUCUCCUGUCCAAGCCCACGCAGUUGGCAAGUUGCAGAUCUGGAGUAGAGUACGAGACUUUCUCAUCUGUGUCUCCAAGGGACACCGUGACCCAUGAUGGCCUCUUUCUGCUGGGUUCAGGCAUAGUCUCAGAAUUCUUCCUGCCCCAUCACCCAGACCUCCCCAUCAACCCCACCUUUGCAGGUAGCAGAUGCUAUCUACUGCCAGCCUGACUCCAGGCUAAGACGAAGAAAAAGAAGGAAAUGCCUAUGGAACCAUCCUACAUAAAGAACACUUUGAGGUCAGAAAAAAAAAGCGCAUGUUGCACUUGCAGCCCCAUACUUCACUGGGUACAGCCCACUCUGCUCUGAGACUUGUUUUGAAAAUACAAAUUUGUUCUAGUGUGAUCGACAUGUUAGCGGAUAAUUUGAGCGUGAUGUGAAUUUGGUUUCUACCCAUAUGUGAUUUUGUCCUCAGGAAAUGCUAGGCAAAUGCAGAAAACUGUAUCCUGCUCAGUCAAGCCCUGCAGGAAACACACACACACAUGCAAGCAUGUGCACACACACGUGGCCCUUCAGUGUUACCUCAGCUGUGGGUUGGGAGCUGCACCUAUCUGCACCUGGUGUGACAACCUUCUGCUCCAUAUCUGAACAGCUGGCGGCUUGGAGGUGAGCUUUCAAAUGUCAACAGGCUUUGCAGACUCCAGUGAUCAGCGUUAUGUGAGCAGUUCAGACUUUCCACAGGGAUCUCGGGCCCAGGAUCACGCAGACCAGAACUUGACCUGGAGGCUGGUGUCUCCCAAACUGUUGUGAGGACCCUGCAACAGCUGGAGUGUCCUCAUCUUAACAGUCCCUGCCAUCUCCCGCCAAGGGUGUACACUGGCCUCCUGGUGGUCCUGUGAGGAAGGCAGGAGUCACCGAUGCUGUUCUGUCAACAGGGACAGACGGAUUACAGCUGAUAAGUGACUUGCCCAGAGUUUUGCAGCUUGGGACUCACAGAGGAGUAGCUGGAAAUCAGGACUGCGCCCAUCUCUUGCCUAACCUCAGAAGCAGUCUUGGCAUUUAUCAAUCAGUAAACAGUCGAGCCAGCACCCGGAAGACAUCUCCCUAAUGCUGCAAGUUGGAGGUAUUCCCUUUUAAAACUGUGUUAGAUUCCAUGCAAGGGGGAUAGAAGAUAUCAAACAAUUAAAGCAGUUGCCUCUUGAGGACAAGUUUGGGGUUCGUGAAAUGGUAAGUGUGUGCCACCAGGAGGCAACAGAGCUGAUGAAAGGACUGUGGCAUUUGGAGUGAGGAGAACCUGGUUCAAGCCCAGCUAAGCAACUUCAAGUAAGUCACAACAAAACUGACCUUCAGGGUCCUCACCAGGGGGUGAUGAUUAAAAUGCAGCAAUGUGGUAAAAGACACCUGCGCUCAGCAAAGCAGCAUCCAGACAUGAGGAAUCCCAGAACCAUCACCAUGGUGAUAAACAUGCUGACAGUGAGGGUACCGUGGUCCACCUUCCUUCCUUUUUUUUUGUCAAUUGAGAUAGAGUCUCAUUCUGUCACCUAGGCUAGAGUACAGUGGCAUGAUCUUGGCUUACUGCACAACCACCGCCUCCUGGGUUCAAGGGAGUCUCCUGCCUCAGCCCUCUGAGUAGCUGGGAUUAAAGGCACCUGCCACCACACCUGGCAAAUUUUUGCAUUUUUAGUAAAGACGGGGUUUUGCCAUGUUGCCCAGGCUGGUCUCAAACUCCUUGCCUCAAGUGAUACAUCUGCCUUGGCCUCCCAAAGUGCUGGAAUUAUAGGCAUGAGCCACCUUGCCUGGUCAACCUUCCUUCCUUUGGUUUUGGUACAACCAACCUUGUUUGUAAAGUUGUAUAAUGUGUAACAAAAUAGGUAUAUUUUGUAUAUGUGCAUACACUUUAUGUAUAUAUUGACGUUUAUCGUAUCUUACUGGAAUGCUGCAAAUGAACGGGGCUCAACAGGCCAAAAACCAGACCCAUUCUCUACCUGUACUCCAAACUAAUUCUGAUGGCCACAGUGAAUUGCACCAUCAGAAAAUUAGAAGUGCUCCUCUUGAAUCCAUGUGUCCUGACCUUUAUCUUGUUUAUUUCACGGCCUAAGGUCUCUGAUUCAUUCACUGUUCUCCCACCGUCUUCUCCAAAUGGCUUGCACUUCUUGCUUGGAUACUCAUGUCUCCCUCCUAACUGGUUUCACCCCCUUCUUUCUGGUCCUCCCUCCCCUCACUACAAAUUCUCCCAUGCAGUCUUGUCACACACACACACAGACAUUGGAUAUAUCAUUCUGUGGCUCCUCAAUGCUGCUGGAUAAAGCCAAGGGUCUGGAGCAUGACACUUGAGCCUCUGCUGUGGUCCAGCCCCUGCCUCCUUUUCCAAACCCUCGUCCUUGUCCUUGGAGGGUGGGACCAGGCUGGGGAGAGGCCACAAUACAAAAAUGGAAAGUGGUGGCAAAUUACUCCGAAUCGAGAUCAAUAAUGCAAUAUUUAAAACAUAAAAAUUAAUGCAAAAUAUAUGCAAUAUAAAAGUUUUAGAUCAAGACAGGCUUCCACCUGCACCUGUACAACCCACCUCACUCACCUUACCCUGACCUUGACCUUGUGGGACCCUGUCCUGAUUUUAACAUUUUGAUAUUUUAUUUUUCAUGAAUAUUUCACAUCAAUUGUGAUUGUUUUCUCAGUGUUGCAUUAAAAUCAUUGAAAUAUUAUUUAUCUUGAUUACUGAGUUUUUUUGUGUGUCCUUAAAUUUGGGGUGCAAGGUGAAUGCCUCUCUCCACCCUCACCCUGGACAAGUGACUGCUUUCCGAGCUUCUCCCAGAUUCUCUCUCCCACAGCCUCUUGUUCUACUGCCGAGCGUGUGUUCAGAGACCUGCCUCAGCAGGCUGUCAUCUACUCACGGUGUGGAUCUCACUGUCAUCCUGACCCUUCAACCCACUUCUCCUUGUGAGGCUCACUGGUUUGCGUCUGUCUCCACCACUGGGCUGUAUCAAGCAGAUACUUGGGAACUGGAGAAUCUCAGUGCCAGACACAUGGAAGCAUGAAUGAAUGAAUGAGGCAGCAUUGCUAGAACUCAAGAUUUUAUCAAUGAAACCUCAUGGUGUUGCCAUGUUCAGAUAGUUAGACUCAACGUAAUUUAGAAUUUGAGAAUCUGAGCACUGUUGACUUGUCCUGGAGGGAUAUCUUGCCUGGUCUUAUGCAUGGAGCUUAUUGUGCUUCAUCUGCAAUUCAAAAACCUUCUUACAGACUUUUAUUCACCACUGGGUCUUGAUGGAGGAAUGAAAUGGAAACUAUCCAAACAGGACUGCCACAGCUCUCUUCCUCCAGGCACUCGCCUGUGAUUUGCCACUUGAUCUCACAGCUGCACGUCUACCCCAACACAGAGCUCAGCACUUGGCGGCUGCCCAGUCAUAUUCCUUAGAUCAAUGCCUGUGCAGCUAGCUUUGCUUUUAACCGCAGCAUGAAAUUUUAACCAGGACAAAGGCCACCUCAGUGCAUUGUUCUUUUCUGCUCUAAUGUUUAGGAAUCUUAAGAUGAUAAGAGUGCAUGUCUCCUACAGAUUCAAUAAGCACAUAUUCUGUCUGAAUCUUUUCAUCAACAGCUUAAUUGGAACUUCUUUAAAAUGUCUACCCAGAUCCCACUAAAGGUGAAAACAAGGGCUUGUAUCCCGGGUGUGUUUUAUCUUAAAAACUCUUCAGUUUUGCAUUCUUCUCUGAUCUUUUCUGUAUCAUUUUAACAGAAAAACUAGUUCCUCUUCCAAGUCUUUGGGCAAAAUUUACACUCCAGGAAGAUAAACUCUGUUUUCCUGAUAUUUUGCCUGUUGCUUGAGACCCACGGGGCCAGGAAACAAGAGCCAUGCUCAGGGCUCACAAUGCAAGAGGGCCUUGCUCUUAGAGACUGACCCAUGCAUGCAUGAGUCUGGAGGUGACAUUGCUGAGCAUUUUGCAUCCCUGUGCCUUGCUUGCCUCAUUCUGUUCCCGCCUGCACCCUGCUGUGAAUCCCAUUGCCAGAGAUGGGAGCAGACCCUCAAGCUCAAAGGUGGUGACAGAGAGUUCUGUCUCCCUGACUACGCCGCUGGCUGCCCCAGAUGUCAAUUUCACAUGCAUCAAAACAGAGGAGAUUCUGACAAAACACCUCCUUGAAGAUCUUACAUGGGACUGUUGUGUAGACAAUGAGGUCAUUGGCAGUGUUAUCAUCCAUCACUUAUUUAUUUAUUUAUUGAGACAGAAUCUUACUCUGUUGCCCAGGCUGGAGUGAAGUGGUGCCAUCUGGGCUCACUGUACCCUCUGCCUACCUAAUUCUAGUGAUUCUCCUGCUUCAGCCUCCCGAGUAGCUGAGAUUAUAGGCAUGUGCCACUGUGUCCGGCUAUUUUUUGUAUUUUUAGUAGA